rnacentral:rRNA from 1 species
CCUACGGGGGGCAGCAGUGAGGAAUAUUGGUCAAUGGGCGCGAGCCUGAACCAGCCAAGUAGCGUGAAGGAUGACUGCCCUACGGGUUGUAAACUUCUUUUAUAAAGGAAUAAAGUGAGGCACGUGUGCCUUUUUGUAUGUACUUUAUGAAUAAGGAUCGGCUAACUCCGUUCCAGCAGCCGCGGUAAUACGGAGGAUCCGAGCGUUAUCCGGAUUUAUUGGGUUUAAAGGGAGCGUAGAUGGGUUGUUAAGUCAGUUGUGAAAGUUUGCGGCUCAACCGUAAAAUUGCAAUUGAUACUGGCAGCCUUGAGUACAGGUGAGGGAGGCGGAAUUCGUGGUGUAGCGGUGAAAUGCUUAGAUAUCACGAAGAACACCGAUUGCGAAGGCAGCUUACUAAACUGCAACUGACAUUGAUGCUCGAAAGUGUGGGUAUCAAACAGGAUUAGAUACCCUAGUAGUC